rnacentral:rRNA from 1 species
UGGGGAAUUUUGCGCAAUGGGGGAAACCCUGACGCAGCGACGCCUCGUGAAUGAUGAAGUCUUUCGGGAUGUAAAGUUCUGUCGGCGGGGACGAUUAUGACGGUACCCGCAAAGGAAGCUCCGGCUAACUACGUGCCAGCAGCCGCGGUAAUACGUAGGGAGCGAGCGUUGUCCGGAUUUAUUGGGCGUAAAGCGUGCGUAGGUGGUUUGAUAAGUUAGAUGUUAAAUACAUGGGCUCAACCCGUGUCUGCGUCUAAAACUGUUAGACUAGAGGAUGGGAGAGGAAAGUGGAACUCACAGUGUAGCGGUGAAAUGCGUAGAUAUUGUGAGGAACACCAGUGGCGAAGGCGACUUUCUGGACCAUUUCUGACACUGAGGCACGAAAGCAUGGGGAGCAAACAGG